UUGGAACAAAAGUCUGCAGGGCUCUGGUCCUCUAGGAAUUUAGUUUGACACCCCUGCUUUAUGCCAUGCGUUGAUCGUUAAAAUAUGGCCUUUGUCUCUAAAAGGUGUAGCAUGAAGAGACCGAUAUGAAUUCUAAAUCGUCUUUGUGAUGGAUGCCAACAACAUCUACUGCUGUCCGUCUCAUUGUUACAUCUUAAGAGAAAGAAGACAUCAUUAGCAGGCCUAUUUUUAACUCUCACAUCUGAAGUUUUGUCAGAAACAAGACAGCACGAGGCGUGAACAUCUAUUCCUGUGUGCCAGAGAGAGCAGCUGCUUUAUCCACACUGUGCAGGGUCCAAUAAUGCUGGUCUCUUCAUAACAUCACAUACAGCUCAAGAUCAACAGAAGUAAAAAGACUGGACAAGAAAAGGCUCAAUUAUGU